rnacentral:rRNA from 1 species
UACGAAGGGGGCUAGCGUUGUUCGGAAUCACUGGGCGUAAAGCGCACGCAGGCGGAUUGAUAAGUCAGGGGUGAAAUCCCGGGGCUCAACCUCGGAAUUGCCUUUGAUACUGUCUGUCUUGAGUUCGGGAGAGGUUGGCGGAAUUCCUAGUGUAGAGGUGAAGUUCGUAGAUAUUAGGAAGAACACCAGUGGCGAAGGCGGCCAACUGGCCCGAUACUGACGCUCAUGUGCGAAAGCGUGGGGAGCAAACAGGG